AGGACGAACGCUGGCGGCCGUGCCUAAUACAUGCAAGUCGAACGGUCUUUCUAUGGAAGCUUGCUUCCACUGAGAAGAUAGUGGCGAACGGGUGAGUAACACGUGGGUAACCUGCCCAUAAGAGGGGGAUAACAUCCGGAAACGGGUGCUAAUACCGCAUAGUUUUCUUGAUCGCAUGAUUGAGAAAGGAAAGACGGCCUUUGUGCUGCCGCUUAUGGAUGGACCCGCGGCGUAUUAGUUAGUUGGUGAGGUAACGGCUCACCAAGACGAUGAUACGUAGCCGACCUGAGAGGGUGAUCGGCCACAUUGGGACUGAGACACGGCCCAAACUCCUACGGGAGGCAGCAGUAGGGAAUCUUCCGCAAUGGACGAAAGUCUGACGGAGCAACGCCGCGUGAGUGAAGAAAAGGUUUUCGGAUCGUAAAACUCUGUUGUCAGAGAAGAACAAGUUGGAGAGUAACUGCUCCAGCCUUGACGGUAUCUGACCAGAAAGCCACGGCUAACUACGUGCCAGCCGCUGC
rnacentral:rRNA from 1 species